rnacentral:lncRNA from 1 species
AGAUGGAGAGGGUUUUGGGCGUCAAGCUUAGGGGGAAGAUCAAGUGAGAGAGGGUUUCGGGCCUUCUCCCUCGUCUUAGUUUCUCUAUAUUUAUCUCUCUCUCUUUCAUUCUUUCUUUGUGACUAUGUGUUUGGUGUCCUCGCUUUCUCUUCUCUUGCUGUGGAAGAAUCUGAGUGAAGGGCCAGUUUCUGCUACUUGUCUCUCUAACUCUCUCUCUCUCUGUUUUCAUGGUAGAUAGAUCAAUGUGCAGAUUACUGAGAUGAAGCAUAAUUACGACACACAUCCAUCAGUUUAACGCACGGUGAGGGAUGAAGGUGAUCCCUCUUUUAAGCAAGGGGGAAUGGACUCCUUUCUCUUGGGCCUCUUUUCUUUUUUGCGGUUAGUCUUCUCGUUUUGGGCUUUAAUCUAUGAUGGGUAAUCUUAUUGUUUGGGGCUUUAAUCGCUGAUGGGUAAUCUUCUUGUUUUGGGCUUUAAUCGAUGAUGGGGUAAUCUUGUUUUGGGCUGUGUCAUUAGUUGUGUACAUGGCUUAUAUGUGAUGGAAUAGAAGGAAUUUAAACAACUCUCUCUUUCCCUGUUUUGGUCACAGUCAUCAUGGCUUAUAUGUGAUGGAAUAGAAGGAGAAUUUAAACAUCUCUCUCUCUCUCUCUCUCUNNN